AUUGAACGCUGGCGGCAUGCCUUACACAUGCAAGUCGAACGGCAGCACGGGAGCAAUCCUGGUGGCGAGUGGCGAACGGGUGAGUAAUAUAUCGGAACGUGCCCGGUCGUGGGGAUAACGUAGCGAAAGCUACGCUAAUACCGCAUACGAUCUACGGAUGAAAGCGGGGGAGUCGCAAGACCUCGCGCGAUUGGAGCGGCCGAUAUCAGAUUAGGUAGUUGGUGAGGUAAAGGCUCACCAAGCCGACGAUCUGUAGCUGGUCUGAGAGGACGACCAGCCACACUGGGACUGAGACACGGCCCAGACUCCUACGGGAGGCAGCAGUGGGGAAUUUUGGACAAUGGGCGCAAGCCUGAUCCAGCAAUGCCGCGUGCAGGAUGAAGGCCUUCGGGUUGUAAACUGCUUUGUACGGUAACGAAACGGUGAGCUCUAAUACAGUUGCUAAUGACGGUACCGUAAGAAUAAG
rnacentral:rRNA from 1 species